UCAAUACUCCCUCCAUCUCAAAAUUCUUGUCUUAGAUUUGUCUAGAUAUGAAUGUAUCUAGACACGUUUUAGUAUUUAGAUACAUCCAUUUCUAGUCAAACCUAAGACAAGAAUUUUAGUACGGAAGGAGUAGGUU
rfam:Hordeum vulgare subsp. vulgare, WGS project CAJW01000000 data, contig: morex_contig_7721